rnacentral:rRNA from 1 species
GACGAACGCUGGCGGCGUGCUUAACACAUGCAAGUCGAACGGAAAGGCCCUGCUUUUGUGGGGUGCUCGAGUGGCGAACGGGUGAGUAACACGUGAGUAACCUGCCCUUGACUUUGGGAUAACUUCAGGAAACUGGGGCUAAUACCGGAUAGGAGCUCCUGCUGCAUGGUGGGGGUUGGAAAGUUUCGGCGGUUGGGGAUGGACUCGCGGCUUAUCAGCUUGUUGGUGGGGUAGUGGCUUACCAAGGCUUUGCCGGGUAGCCGGCCUGAGAGGGUGACCGGCCACAGUGGGACUGAGAUACGGCCCAGACUCCUACGGGAGGCAGCAGGGGGGAAUAUUGCACAAUGGGCGGAAGCCUGAUGCAGCAACGCCGCGUGCGGGAUGACGGCCUUCGGGUUGUAAACCGCUUUCGCCUGUGACGAAGCGUGAGUGACGGUAAUGGGUAAAGAAGCACCGGCUAACUACGUG